GUAAACCCCAGUGCAGCAAAUUGAAUAAGCCCAUAAACACCAAGGUGGCAACUGGAAAACCAUCAGUCUGUUGGAUGUCCAUCGACAAGAAUAAAUCAAGGAUGAAAGUUUAAAUACUUGUGCAACAAUUAUAAGGUUCCAUACCCAGCACUAGAGCUUCUUCACAAUCUCUUCAUUUGCACGCUUGUAGUAAGUCAUCCUUUGUGUAGC
rnacentral:lncRNA from 1 species